CACUUGUUCAAGUGCCCAACAUGAAUCUGU
rnacentral:piRNA from 1 species